GAUGAACGCUGGCGGCGUGCCUAAUACAUGCAAGUCGAGCGAACGGACGAGAAGCUUGCUUCUCUGAUGUUAGCGGCGGACGGGUGAGUAACACGUGGAUAACCUACCUAUAAGACUGGGAUAACUUCGGGAAACCGUAGCUAAUACCGGAUAAUAUUUUGAACCGCAUGGUUCAAAAGUGAAAGACGGUCUUGCUGUCACUUAUAGAUGAAUCCGCGCUGCAUUAGCUAGUUGGUAAGGUAACGGCUUACCAAGGCAACGAUGCAUAGCCGACCUGAGAGGGUGAUCGGCCACACUGGAACUGAGACACGGUCCAGACUCCUACGGGAGGCAGCAGUAGGGAAUCUUCCGCAAUGGGCGAAAGCCUGACGGAGCAACGCCGCGUGAGUGAUGAAGGUCUUCGGAUCGUAAAACUCUGUUAUUAGGGAAGAACAUAUGUGUAAGUAACUGUGCACAUCUUGACGGUACCUAAGCAGAAAGCCACGGCUAACUACGU
rnacentral:rRNA from 1 species